ACCCAGUUCGGAUUGCAGUCUGCAACUCGACUGCAUGAAGCUGGAAUCGCUAGUAAUCGCGAAUCAGCAUGUCGCGGUGAAUACGUUCCCGGGUCUUGUACACACCGCCCGUCACACCAUGGGAGUCGGAAAUGCCCGAAGCCAGUGACCCAACCUACGGGAGGGAGCAGCCGAAGGCAGGUCGGAUGACUGGGGUGAAGUCGUAACAAGGUAGC
rnacentral:rRNA from 1 species